UGCCGCCCGUGCAGAAUGUUGCGUUUAGUUUUUGUCCAUAUCUGUUGACUAUGCUAAGAUGCGUUUUGCUGGUUAUUGUAUCAAAUGCAUAUCGUCCUCAGACGAAAAGCUGGAAAAAAUGGUCCAGGGGUGAUUCGAUAUGCUGAUUGUUUACGUUCUCUGUGUAGCGUUUCAACUUUAUAAUUGCAAUGUAGUCAAGCCCUCUUCUUAGGUUAAGACAAAUAAUGAGCCCGGACAUUGUCGAAUGGCGGUGAACGGCUUAAAAUGUUGAUUUCAACACAGUGUUGCAAUAGGGUCGGCUUCGGUCGCAAAAGCAGUCUACGGAGUACAUAGACGCUCGACAAAACUUACUACUGCAUCUGCGAGGCAGUGACCUUUUGAGGUCUAAUUUAAAAUCGACUAUUAUACCUAAAUCGAUCAGUUAGCAGCUUCGACGGAGAUGUUUGUAGCUGUGAGCUCGAUUUAAUUGAUUUUACAUGCUUCUUCAUGAAAUCGACUCCUCUUAAAAGCGAUUACAUGUGAGCUGUACAGACCAGGACCAGGGAGACGAAUGGAGACGAACAACCGGGACCUGUGCAGAAUCGAUCUCCUAGGUCUCUGAGGCAUAACACGGAUCACUCUACGGUUUCCAGCCUUCGACUUGGAAUACAUUUGCCCCCGAAAUGAAAUAGUUCCGCCUGUUGCUUCCACUAUCGCAUGGCGGUGUUAUGUGUAUGUACAUUUAAUAUGAUUGACGCGGGUGAUCAUAUCGAAAUAAGCUAGAAGCGCGUCUUGAACUCGGCAUCUGCCCAUGGUUGAUGCUAAUUUUGGGGCGACUCUCACCGACACAGACGCCGCACGAUUAGCUGUAUCAUGCCGUCUGAGCUUGGAUUGUGUUUGGCUAUGGGAUAGUCGCAUUUUGUUCGCACCCAGACUGGAACAGAACAUAGCAUAGUGGCAUUCCCCGUGUUGGCCGCGCUCUUGGCUUACUUGGCGUACCAUGCAUGAACUCCUCAUGCGACAAUUAGCACAUUUUUACA